UUAGGGAUAUUCGGCAAUGGGGGAAACCCUGACCGAGCAAUGCCGCGUGAACGAAGAAGUAUUUCGAUAUGUAAAGUUCUGUUGUUAAGGAAGAAAGAUACUGAUAGGGAAUGAUCAGUAGUUGACGGUACUUAACCAGAAAGCCCCUGCUAACUAC
rnacentral:rRNA from 1 species